GACGAACGCUGGCGGCGUGCUUAACACAUGCAAGUCGAGCGGUAAGGCCCUUUCGGGGGUACACGAGCGGCGAACGGGUGAGUAACACGUGGGUGACCUGCCCUCAGCUCUGGGAUAAGCCUGGGAAACCGGGUCUAAUACUGGAUAUGACUCCAUGACGCAUGUUGUGGGGUGGAAAGCCUUGUGCGGCUGAGGAUGGGCCCGCGGCCUAUCAGCUUGUUGGGGGGGUGA
rnacentral:rRNA from 1 species